rnacentral:rRNA from 1 species
AGUUAAAGCCCCUAAAGGAUUGCUCAGUGAUAAAAGAGUGUAGGAGUGCAGAAAUAGCCAAAAGGUUUACCUAGUUACAGCCACCCUUGAAAGAGUGUGUAAUAGCUCACGAUCGAGUGCUCUUGCUCUGAAGAUGAAAGGGGCUAAGCGAUAUACUGAAAUU